rnacentral:rRNA from 1 species
UGGGGAAUAUUGGACAAUGGGCGCAAGCCUGAUCCAGCCAUGCCGCGUGGGUGAAGAAGGCCUUCGGGUUGUAAAGCCCUUUUGUUGGGAAAGAAAAGCAGUCGGUUAAUACCCGAUUGUUCUGACGGUACCCAAAGAAUAAGCACCGGCUAACUUCGUGCCAGCAGCCGCGGUAAUACGAAGGGUGCAAGCGUUACUCGGAAUUACUGGGCGUAAAGCGUGCGUAGGUGGUUCGUUAAGUCUGAUGUGAAAGCCCUGGGCUCAACCUGGGAAUUGCACUGGAUACUGGCGGGCUAGAGUGCGGUAGAGGAUGGCGGAAUUCCCGGUGUAGCAGUGAAAUGCGUAGAGAUCGGGAGGAACAUCCGUGGCGAAGGCGGCCAUCUGGACCAGCACUGACACUGAGGCACGAAAGCGUGGGGAGCAAACAGGAUUAGAUACCCUGGUAGUCCACGCCCUAAACGAUGCGAACUGGAUGUUGGGAGCAACUAGGCUCUCAGUAUCGAAGCUAACGCGUUAAGUUCGCGCUUCCUGGGGAGUAGCGGCCGCAAGAUUG